CUUCACUCUGCCGCCCGGACCCCUGACUGCAAAGGUUCUGGCUCUAGCCUGCUCCUCAUCGGGGUCUGCUAAGAGUUUCCAGAGUGCCAUAUCAGACGUCACCUGGAGAAAUGGCAGAAUUGACUUCCGUCACCUGUUCAAUAAAAAGUACCACUUUGACGGGGAGAGGUUCGUGGAGGGGCGGAAACUCAUCACAGAUGGCUUGACCUCUGUCAAAGCCAGCGUCAAGCGAGGGAACUUUGAGGCAGCAAGACAGACGCUGGGAGACAUUUUACACACCUUACAGGACUUCUACAGUCACAGUAACUGGAUAGAACUGGGCAACAGAUUUCCCC